AUGGUUCUCAAACUUCAUAAUCUGCACAAAUCAGGCAGUGCAUGGAUACUGUGCAUUAAAUACUAAAGACUAACAUUUCAAAGUGACUUUGUACCCAGUGCUGAUGAGCCAAACAAUCGCAUGCAUUUUUAAGUCCCAUUCGAUUAUGCAACGUUUUUUUUAUUACAGACAAGAACACUGUACGGCCUUUACAUGUUCAGACAUACAUAUCUGUAUGCCUGUAUGGUCAUGUGUUGUGAUAGAAAUCAGAGAAAAGCUUUAGGAGACCUGGAUGCCUUACAAAGAAGCUUUGAAUGAAGCUUGGCCAAAGAAAAAACAGUUAACCAGAACAAGUGUACAUGCAAGGGUUCUUACUGGGCCACCUUUUGGCAGAUGAAAAUGUUUUCAUUCCCCCCCCACCCCCACUCACCAUACACAUCAACACAUUAACAUAUGAUAUACACUUAUCACACUGUCAGUCACGCCCUUUGCUAACAAAUUUCUGUAUUUUUAGACUUUAUCUCCAACAUUGUCUGCCAAUGGAGAAUGUUCACUUCAGUGUGUGACAACAAACUGUGCAUCCCAAAGCUGUGUCAUGUUUCAACCGUGCAUCAAAUAAGGAAAAGUCCUUCACAAGUAUUAUCUGUCAGAGACUUUAACUGUUGGAUUUGAGGUAAUUAUAUAAACAAGGAGGUAUUACACUUGUGGGAGUGAAUCACCCACGGCAACAAGGAAGUGCUUGUAAGUGACAAGGGCUACAUAUGUGCCUGUCUAUAUUAGCCACAGAUGAAGUUAAAACCCAUGCGUCUUAUAAGCUGACUAGCCAUUUCAAAAGUGAUUGUUUUUAUGAUAAGCAUAUUAUUUUUAUCUUUAUUGCUUGUAAGGAAUCUGGGAAUAUGAAUUCUCACUACCAUGAUGACAACCUGCUGGUGACUGUUAGUAACCUGUUUUCCACUGGAACAGACACUACAUCAUCCAGUAUUAGAUAUGGCUUACUGCUCAUGGCCAAGAAUCCAACAAUACAAGGGAAGGAACACAAUAACUUGGAUGUAUGAAACAAUAUCUCAAUUAAUAAGUGAAUAGAAUUUGACUCAACAGAAAAAAGCUUAAGUUCAGGCACCAGAAAGUCAUGUUUUCAUGCAGUUGCCAUCUCCUCCGCCAUAAUUGUCAGAGUGGGAUGCUAACAUUUAAUGUAAAGAUUCUAACGGGGCGUUCUCGAGAAUUUCAAGCCUUGAGUGGAUAUUUCAGGAACUGCAGUUUUGAGCACUUUAGCUUUAGCUUUGCUUGAUUUGGGCCUGUGGAUCAAGUGAAUGCCAUGGGAUCCCUCCUGGAAACUAUUUUUUCUGAAGCGCUGCCCAAAACACUCAUCAAUGACUCAUAAAGAAAAUCAGUGUUAUCAAUGUUCCUUUAAUACUGAUAAAACUUGCCCUUAAAGCACUCUGUAUGGCUGUGUUUGGACUUAACUGUUUUAAACCAGCCCUUUCUCCGUUACUGUAUAACAAAGCCAAUGAGAUUGUGCUCGUGUUUCAUCUCCAAGAACGAGUUCAGGAAGAGAUGAACAGGGUGGUAGGAAGCCGUCAGGUCUGGGUAGAGGACAGGAAGAACCUUCCAUACACUGACGCUGUUAUCCAUGAAAUACAGAGGAUGUCCAUCACUAUCCCGAUGAUUCUACAUCGCACCACACGAGAUGUUACCUUCCAGGACUACUUCAUCAAGAAAGGAACUACAGCACUGCUGCUGCUGUCAUCUGCUCUUCGGGAUGAAGACGAAUGAGAAACACCUUACACUUUCAACCCAGCCCACUUCUUAGAUGAGGACGGACAUUUUAAAAAGAGAGACGCUUUUAUACCGUUUUCCGCAGAGCAAGGGCUUGUGCGGGAGAAAGCUUGGCUAGGAUGGAGCUCUUCCUCUUCUUCACCUCCCUCCUCCAACACUUUAGCUUCACUCCUCCACCUGGAGUUAAAGAGGAUGAACUGAAUCUGACACAGAAUGUGGGCAUAACCCUGAGUCCAUCACCUCAUAAACGAUGUGCUAUCAGCAGGGUCUGACAGACUUCUAAAGUCUGUUAUCACGUGAUGAGAUAACCGCAAUCAUUACAGCAAAGACGUUAUAAACACAGCAUUGUGCCCACAAGACACAACUUCUUUGCAAAUUAACUUGUCACACAUAUCCUGACAAAUUGAAAUAAAAUUGUACAGCUAAAAAAACACUAUAUUAAUCAUGUAUGAAUGUAUGAAAAACUAACAUGUGUUGAUGCCUGUCCUAACAAUACAAAAACAUUAGAUUCUAAUAUACAAGGAGCACAUUGUUGAUGAAAUGAAAUUUAAAAAUGUGUAUAGUAUCUCAAAAUAAACUUUGGAUU